rnacentral:rRNA from 1 species
GACGAACGCUGGCGGCGUGCUUAACACAUGCAAGUCGAACGUAAAGGCCCUGCUUGCAGGGUACUCGAGUGGCGAACGGGUGAGUAACACGUGGGUGAUCUGCCCUUCACUUCGUGAUACGCCUGGUAAACUGGGUCUAAUACCGGAUAGGAGCCAUUUUUAGUGUGAUGGUUGGAAAGUUUUUUCGGUGUAGGAUGAGCUCGCGGCCUAUCAGCUUGUUGGUGGGGUAAUGGCCUACCAAGGCGGCGACGGGUAGCCGGCCUGAGAGGGUGGACGGCCACAUUGGGACUGAGAUACGGCCCAGACUCCUACGGGAGGCAGCAGUGGGGAAUAUUGCACAAUGGGCGCAAGCCUGAUGCAGCGACGCCGCGUGGGGGAUGACGGCCUUCGGGUUGGAAACUCCUUUCGCUAGGGACGAAGCUUUUUGUGACGGUACCUAGAUAAGAAGCACCGGCUAACUACGUG